ACUGAACCUAGCCCAAUUGCACAUUCACCAAAUAACCUCUGCCAACUAAACUAAAACAUUCAACUAAUAGAAGUAUAGGAGAUAGAAACUUAACUACGGCGCUAUAGAGAAAGUACCGUAAGGGAAAGAUGAAAGACAAAACAACAGUAAGAAAAAGCAAAGAUUAACACUUGUACCUUUUGCAUAAUGAACUAGCCAGAAUAAGUUUAGCAAAGAGAGCUUUAGUUAAACACCCCGAAACCAGACGAGCUACCUACGAACAGCUGACAGAGCAAAUUCAUCUAUGUUGCAAAAUAGUGAAGUGAUUUGUAGGUAGAGGUGAAAAGCCUAUCGAGCCUGGUGAUAGCUGGUUGUCCAGAACAGAAUUUUAGUUCAACUUUAAAUCUACCUAAAGAAAAAUCAAUCCCAAUGUAGAUUUAAAUGUUAAUCUAAGGGGGUACAGCUCCUUAGAACUAGGAAAAACCUUGUUUAGAGAGUAAAUAAUUUUAGACCCAUAGUUGGCUUAAAAGCAGCCAUCAACUGAGAAAGCGUUCAAGCUCGACAGUAAAUAACCACUAAAUCCCGAAACUUAUACCCAACUCCUAAACCCACACUGGACCAAUCUACACAUAUGUAGAUGAGAUACUGCUAGUAUGAGUAACAAGAAAUAAUUCUCCCUGCACAAGCUUAUAUCAGAUCGGAUGCCCACUGAUAGUUAACAGUUCAAUAAAAUUUAAACCCAAUUCAAGACUCUUAUUAACCAAACUGUUGACCCGACACUGGAGUGCAUAAAAAUUAAGGGAAAGAUUUAAAAGAGUAAAAGGAACUCGGCAAACACUAACCCCGCCUGUUUACCAAAAACAUCACCUCUAGCAUAAAAAUUAUUAGAGGCACUGCCUGCCCAGUGACACAAGUUAAACGGCCGCGGUAUCCUGACCGUGCAAAGGUAGCAUAAUCAUUUGUUCCUUAAAUAGGGACUUGUAUGAAUGGCCACACGAGGGUUAAACUGUCUCUUACUCUUAAUCAGUGAAAUUGACCUUCCCGUGAAGAGGCGGGAAUGCAUCAAUAAGACGAGAAGACCCUAUGGAGCUUUAAUUAACUAACUCACAUGUGCACAUUCAAUCCUAACGGGUAUAAAAAUACGUCUCUGAGUUAGUAAUUUCGGUUGGGGUGACCUCGGAGAAUAAAAAAUCCUCCGAAGCAAAUAAUCCAAGACAUUACAAGUCGAAGUAGUAUGUGUAGUAAUUGAUCCAACAAGUUGAUCAAUGGAACAAGUUACCCUAGGGAUAACAGCGCAAUCCUAUUCUAGAGUCCAUAUCGACAAUAGGGUUUACGACCUCGAUGUUGGAUCAGGACAUCCCAAUGGUGCAACCGCUAUUAAUGGUUCGUUUGUUCAACGAUUAAAGUCCUACGUGAUCUGAGUUCAGACCGGAGUAAUCCAGGUCGGUUUCUAUCUAUUAGACACUCCUCCCAGUACGAAAGGACAAGAGAAGUGAGGCCAAUUCAUCAAGCACGCCUCUGACUUAAUAAAUGAACUAAUCUCAAUUUAGUAAGUUAUCACUAACCCUGCCCAAGAGCAGGGCUU
rnacentral:rRNA from 1 species